rnacentral:rRNA from 1 species
GACGAACGCUGGCGGCGUGCUUAACACAUGCAAGUCGAGCGGCGCGGCGAACGGGUGAGUAACGCGUUAGUAACUGCCCCCCUCUCUGGGAUAACAGUUGGAAACGGCUGCUAAUACCGGAUAGUGGGGGAUGACUCGCGUCCUAUCAGCUUGUUGGUGGGGUAGUGGCCUACCAAGGCGACGACGGGUAGCCGGCCUGAGAGGGCGACCGGCCACAUUGGGCUGAGAGACGGGCCAAACUCCUACGGGAGGCAGCAGGGGGGAAGAGUGCACAAUGGGGGAAACCCUGAGGCAGCAACGCCGCGGGCGGGAUGACGGCCUUCGGGUUGUAAACCGCUUUCAGCCAUGACGCGGUACUUAACCAGAAAGGGACGGCUAACUACGUGCCAGCAGCCGCGGUAAUUC